UACAGAGGUCUCAGGCGUUGUUCGGAUUCAUUGGGCGUAAAGGGUGCGUAGGUGGUGAUGCAAGUCUGGUGUGAAAUCUCGGAGCUUAACUCCGAAAUUGCACCGGAUACUGCGUUGCUCGAGGACUGUAGAGGAGAUCGGAAUUCACGGUGUAGCAGUGAAAUGCGUAGAUAUCGUGAGGAAGACCAGUUGCGAAGGCGGAUCUCUGGGCAGUUCCUGACACUGAGGCACGAAGGCCAGGGGAGCAAACGGG
rnacentral:rRNA from 1 species